rnacentral:rRNA from 1 species
UAGAGGUGCUGCAUGGCUGUCGUCAGCUCGUGUCGUGAGAUGUUGGGUUAAGUCCCGCAACGAGCGCAACCCUUGUCUGCUGUUGCCAUCAGGUCAUGCUGGGCACUCUGCAGAGACUGCCGGUGAUAAACCGGAGGAAGGUGGGGAUGACGUCAAGUCAGCAUGGCCUUUAUGUCGUGGGGCUACACACGUGCUACAAUGGCCGAUACAAACCGUCGCAAAACCGCAAGGUGGAGCUAAUCGGAGAAAGUCGGUCUCAGUUCGGAUAGCAGGCUGCAAUUCGCCUGCUUGAAGUUGGAAUCGCUAGUAAUCGCGGAUCAGCACGCCGCGGUGAAUACGUUCCCGGGCCUUGUACACACCGCCCGUCACAUCACGAAAGCCGGUUGUACUAGAAGUCGCCAUACCAACCCGCAAGGGAGGGAGGCGCCUAAGGUAUGGUCGGUGAUUGGGGUGAAGUCGUAACAAGGUAGGCGUAGAUGA